UCAGAGGUGAAAUCCUGCAGCUCAACUGUAAAACUGCCUUUGAAACUGUUAUUCUUGAGUAUGGAUGAAGUGGGUGGAAUUUGUCGUGUAGCGGUGAAAUGCAUAGAUAUUACAUGGAACACCAAUUGCGAAGGCAGCUCACUAAAUCUUUACUGACGCUCAUGGACGAAAGCGUGGGGAGCGAACAGGAUUAGAUACCCUGGUAGUCCACGCCGUAAACGAUGAUCACUAGAUGUUGGAGAUAUAAUGUCAGCGUUCAAGACAAAUCGAUAAUUGAUCCACCUCGGGGGGACGUUCGCACGAAUGAAACUCACACGAAUUGACGG
rnacentral:rRNA from 1 species